rnacentral:rRNA from 1 species
UACAGAGGUCCCAAGCGUUGUUCGGAUUCAUUGGGCGUAAAGGGUGCGUAGGUGGCGUCGUAAGUCGGGUGUGAAAUCUCGGGGCUUAACUCCGAAACUGCAUUCGAUACUGCGGUGCUUGAGGACUGGAGAGGAGACUGGAAUUUACGGUGUAGCAGUGAAAUGCGCAGAUAUCAGGAAGAACACCCGUGGCGAAGGCGGCUCUCUGGGACGUGACUGACGCUGAGACGCGAAAGCGUGGGGAGCGAACAGG